AGUGAACGCUGGCGGUAGGCCUAACACAUGCAAGUCGAACGGCAGCACAGUAAGAGCUUGCUCUUACGGGUGGCGAGUGGCGGACGGGUGAGGAAUACAUCGGAAUCUACUUUUUCGUGGGGGAUAACGUAGGGAAACUUACGCUAAUACCGCAUACGACCUACGGGUGAAAGCAGGGGAUCUUCGGACCUUGCGCGAUUGAAUGAGCCGAUGUCGGAUUAGCUAGUUGGCGGGGUAAAGGCCCACCAAGGCGACGAUCCGUAGCUGGUCUGAGAGGAUGAUCAGCCGCACUGGAACUGAGACACGGUCCAGACUCCUACGGGAGGCAGCAGUGGGGAAUAUUGGACAAUGGGCGCAAGCCUGAUCCAGCCAUACCGCGUGGGUGAAGAAGGCCUUCGGGUUGUAAAGCCCUUCUGUUGGGAAAGAAAAGCAGCAGGUUAAUACCCCGCUGUUCUGACGGUACCCAAAGAAUAAGCACCGGCUAACUUCGUG
rnacentral:rRNA from 1 species